rnacentral:rRNA from 1 species
AUUGAACGCUGGCGGCAGGCUUAACACAUGCAAGUCGAGCGGGGGAAGGUAGCUUGCUACCGGACCUAGCGGCGGACGGGUGAGUAAUGCUUAGGAAUCUGCCUAUUAGUGGGGGACAACAUCUCGAAAGGGAUGCUAAUACCGCAUACGUCCUACGGGAGAAAGCAGGGGAUCUUCGGACCUUGCGCUAAUAGAUGAGCCUAAGUCGGAUUAGCUAGUUGGUGGGGUAAAGGCCUACAAAGGCGACGAUCUGUAGCGGGUCUGAGAGGAUGAUCCGCCACACUGGGACUGAGACACGGCCCAGACUCCUACGGGAGGCAGCAGUGGGGAAUAUUGGACAACGGGGGGAACCCUGAUCCAGCCAUGCCGCGUGUGUGAAGAAGGCCUUAUGGUUGUAAAGCACUUUAAGCGAGGAGGAGGCUACUUUAGUUAAUACCUAGAGAUAGUGGACGUUACUCGCAGAAUAAGCACCGGCUAACUCUGUGCCAGCAGCCGCGGUAA